AGAAGAGUUUGAGCCAUGCAAGUAUUGAUUUGUGGCCAAAUGCAUACAAUUGUUUUGCUUUCUUCCAUAAUAUAAUACAGUGCAGUUGACUUCCGUUUGUGGCGUUAGGCCUUCCAUCAUCAUGCUCUAUAGCUAUCGUGUGGGUGGGGUGCACCAUAAAAGCAGGUCUCAUGGCAUACAUUCCCUUCAAGUGUAAGAAUAAAAGCAGACAUCUCCCAACCCCUCCACGCCCAAAACCACAGCUCACAAUAUUCCAAAAACAGUGAUAAUAAAGGAGAUAAAUUAUCAUGGCUCUUCAGAUCAAGGCUUCUCUUCUUCUAGUCCUUCUCUUGAUUCCCUUAUCUUCAGGUGUUGUCACAGAAGGUUUCAAGGAUGGGAUGAACAUUAUCAACUCACUCGUCAAGAAUGGAAUUGCCAUGAAUUCAAGGAAGCUUUUGAGGCAUGAUCUUUCGGACUAUGACUAUGCAGGAGCCAACCCCAAGCAUGAUCCCUGCAAGAAGGGGAGAUCAAACUGCCCGAAGAACCCUUGACUCUAUUAUCCUGCCUCAAGGCCCAAAUUAAUUAAAUAAUAUAGGCUACUCUUUCUCUAUAUAUCAAAAGAUUUUGAUCAUGUAUGAUGAAUCAUGUUAUAGCAUUAUAUACGUGUUUCUUUGAUGUUAAUAUUGUAGAAGCAUACCCUUAUGAAGUUGGCGGGUAGGGAAGGGCCAAGAGAAUCAUUCUGCAUUGUUGUAUUUGGGUUCAUGUUGAACACCUAUGGCUAUUGCUAUGAGAAUGAAUAUAUAGUUUUUCUA